GAUUUCCUCCUCUUCUUCGACCUCCUUUUCUCUUUCUCCCGCUCUUUCUUCCGUUUCCGCUUCAGUCUCCUGUGGGACUUCUCCUCAUCCGAAUCACUGUGAUGCUUCUCCCCCUUUUCUUUCCGGCUUCUCUCAGGCCCUCCGGAGGUAUCCUGGGUCUCCUCUGCCCCAUCAUCUUCCAAUUCACCUUCUUCCAACUCUCCAUCUUCCCUACAAACAAACCCCAAUCCCACCAUGAACACAGGGUUUGAGAGGAGACCUCCUAGGGCUCUGGGCUGGCCAAGGCUGACAGGAACCGAAGGCCUGACUGCUGUGAGCGAAGUGAGACCCUGGGAGGACAUGGGGGCCAUGGCCUCUUGUUCCAUCCCUUAUCCUCCCCCUGAAAGAACUGUGCUUGCUCCAGUCUAACCUGGCUGGGGGAGGGGUAGGAGUUUAAGGGCAUUACCACUAACACCGGGACACAUCUACGCCAGAUUUCCCAACAGAACUAGUGUUCUUAGAAGAAGAAACCGACAAGGUGCUGUGGUCACAUAAGCAGGAAGAGCCCCAUCUUGGGGAUUCAUAAUGCUUAACGCUGCACAACUUCCAGGAAGCCCCAUAGUCCAGAAACCCACACAGCUCUGCUGUGAAGCACUUGGGGCACUUCUAAACCUUGCUUGACCACAGAAGUCUCUCUCCCAGGGAGCACAGACCCACAUCCCCUCCCUCCCAGGCCCAGGAUUGCCUGCUGGGCCCCGGGCCCCAGUGAGCUGGGCGUCAGUGCCACCUGAGGCUGAGGGCGGUGGCUGUGCACCGUGGAGAGGGCCUUGGUUCUGAACCAGGGGUGGCCCCAAGCUACCUGGGACCCACCCACAGGCAGGCCUGGGCUGUGGCCUGAGAACCCUCCAAGUACUUUAUUACAAAAGCCCCAUGAGAACCGCUGGAAACAGGCUCAGAGUCCCAGGUCACAAGGUCUGACCCACCCUCGUCAGUCCCACACCUCUAGGCCGGAGGCAAGCAAACACUGAGCAGCUGGAGGAGGGGGGACGGAUCCCAGGCCCCUCCUGAGGGCCUCACAUGAUACCGGCCCUGCUUUCUCUCCCUCCUCUGACUCACCU
rnacentral:lncRNA from 1 species